UUACCCCUAAAAUCCAGUUCGCAACUGCCCCAAACUCAUCAGUAAGCGGUGCUUGCACUCGAGCGUGACAGCCCGGCCGCGUAAUUCCGGCGGUUUCAGUUCAUUAGGUUCCAUUGCUCAGCUCCUCUGCUGAAUAUCUUAAUUAAUUGGGAUUCUGUUGCUGUUCGAGAGACCGGUGAAACGUAAAUUAGUGGGGGCGAUGAAGUCUCCAAGAUGGGGUUAUUUUCGGAUUAUUACCGGUACUAUACUCGGGGGGAUUCUCGGAUUCUACUGUAUGCACCGCGCUGAACUCAAGUACAAGGAGAUGUGGAACGAAAGAUUGAGGAAGUACGAGGAGGAACUGAAUAAAAGGAAGAAUCAAGAGGCAGCCAAUGAGUUUCAGGAGUCCCUCUAAUAUUGCCCUUUUUGUUCCGCUUACAUUCUGUGAUUUCUAUGAGUUUUUCUUUCUUGUAUCUUUUACGCAUUCAUCACUAUUAUCAAGAAUGUCGGAAAUUCUGGUGUUGAUGUUCCAAUUAAUAAUACAUAAUCUGAUGAAGCCA